UACAGGGGGUGCAAACGUUGCUCGGAAUCAUUGGGCGUAAAGAGCCCCGUAGGCGGCCUGUCGCGUCGGAUGUGAAAGCCCGGGGCUUAACCCCGGGUCUGCAUUCGAUACGGGCAGGCUAGAGUGUGGUAGGGGAGAUCGGAAUUCCUGGUGUAGCGGUGAAAUGCGCAGAUAUCAGGAGGAACACCGGUGGCGAAGGCGGAUCUCUGGGCCAUUACUGACGCUGAGGAGCGAAAGCGUGGGGAGCGAACAGG
rnacentral:rRNA from 1 species